GAGGGAAUGACUCCUAGUGCCAGCGUAUGGAUACAUGGGUAAGUUCAUAGAGUUUAGCUUUUAAGUGCUUUAGUCUCUUAUUUUUAUGAAAUUGUGGUUCCUCACCACCAUGAUCAACUAUUCUUGGUGGUGAGGAAUAAUAGAAGUUACUGCGAUCACCCUUUGAGAUGAAAUGUGUUUGAUUGUGUUAUCAAUUUCUCAAACUGGGAAAGUUAUCAUUGUUUUCAACAUAAAAACAGAUAAAAAA
rnacentral:misc_RNA from 1 species